rnacentral:rRNA from 1 species
UCUCUCCUACGGGACGCAGCAGUGAGGAAUAUUGGUCAAUGGCCGAGAGACUGAACCAGCCAAGUCGCGUGAGGGAUGACGGCCCUACGGGUUGUAAACCUCUUUUGUCGGGGAGCAAAGAGAGUCACGUGUGGCUCAUUGAGAGUACCCGAAGAAAAAGCAUCGGCUAACUCCGUGCCAGCAGCCGCGGUAAUACGGAGGAUGCGAGCGUUAUCCGGAUUUAUUGGGUUUAAAGGGUGCGUAGGCGGACAGUCAAGUCAGCGGUAAAAAUGCGGUGCUCAACGCCGUACAGCCGUUGAAACUGG